rnacentral:rRNA from 1 species
GACGAACGCUGGCGGCGUGCUUAACACAUGCAAGUCGAGCGAUGAAGUUCCUUCGGGAAUGGAUUAGCGGCGGACGGGUGAGUAACGCGUGGGUAACCUGCCUCAUAGAGGGGAAUAGCCUUCCGAAAGGAAGAUUAAUACCGCAUAAGAUUGUAGUACCGCAUGGUAUAGCAAUUAAAGGAGCAAUCCGCUAUGAGAUGGACCCGCGUCGCAUUAGCUAGUUGGUGAGGUAACGGCUCACCAAAGCGACGAUGCGUAGCCGACCUGAGAGGGGGAUCGGCCACAUUGGGACUGAGACACGGCCCAGACGCCUGCGGGAGGCAGCAGUGGGGAAUAUUGCACAAUGGGGCAAACCCUGAUGCAGCAACGCAGCGUGAGUGAUGAAGGUCUUCGGAUUGUAAAACUCUGUCUUCAGGGACGAUAAUGACGGUACCUGAGGAGGAAGCCACGGCUAACUACGUGCCAGCCGCCGCAGUAAGAC